rnacentral:lncRNA from 1 species
GUGACAGAAGGAAGGAGGCGACUUCCAUUUAAUGCAAACCUGCAGAGUGUCUAAGUAGAUAUGUGGAUAUCUACAAUAGAACAACAUAUGCUUGGUAAAUAUACAUGAAUAGAUACAGAUCUAAAUAGAUUUGUGGAUAUCUAAAACAAACAAUAGAUGUUUGACAAAAUAUACAUGAAAAAAUAUAGAUCUACAGGGGAAGUUGAAUAUCUAAACUCAGGGAUAAUUAAAAAAUUGCGGAUCUAAAUAGAUUUGUGGAUAUGGAGACGGAAUUUAGUGAGGGAAGCGAGAAAAACACAAAAAAACUAGAUACUAUUUAAUCGUGAAAGCAAUGGAAUGAAAACAAGUACAUGGAAAAACUUUUGAAUUUUGUCGCUUGACAACAUUAAGCUGUCGGAUUAACAGAAAGUGAGCCAAUUUGCUAGAGAAGACAAGUUUGGAGUAGACAUCAAGAAGUUUUCCAAAGUAAGGCCUAAUGGUUUCAUUCUCUUUAGGUGUAAGAGCUUUCAACACAACCUUGAUCGUAUUGAGCUUGAAGUACAUAUUCACCCUAUCGCCAGGAGGUCCUCUCUAUCGGCAAACAAUCGGGAAAGCAGCUCCAGAUCAGCCAUAUUUCUAAACAGUAAAAAAAUUAAACAGUAAGUUAUGUAUCAACAUCAAGUGGGAAUAAAAGAAAAUAAAUAGAUAUCUACAAAAAAA